GACGAACGCUGGCGGCGUGCCUAAUACAUGCAAGUCGAGCGCAGGAAACUGACGGAACUCUUCGGAGGGAAGGCAGUGGAAUGAGCGGCGGACGGGUGAGUAACACGUAAGGAACCUGCCUCAAGCAUUGGGAUAACUCCGAGAAAUCGGAGCUAAUACCGGAUAGUUCAUCGGACCGCAUGGUCCGCUGAUGAAAGGCGCUCCGGCGUCACCUUGAGAUGGCCUUGCGGUGCAUUAGCUAGUUGGUGGGGUAACGGCCCACCAAGGCGACGAUGCAUAGCCGACCUGGGAGGGUGAUCGGCCACACUGGGACUGAGACACGGCCCAGACUCCUACGGGAGGCAGCAGUAGGGAAUCUUCCACAAUGGGCGAAAGUCUGAUGGAGCAACGCCGCGUGAGUGAUGAAGGUUCUCGGAUCGUAAAACUCUGUUGUAAGGGAAGAACACGUACGAGAGGGAAUGCUCGUACCUUGACGGUACCUUACGAGAAAGCCACGGCUAACUACGUGCCAGCCGCCGCGGUAA
rnacentral:rRNA from 1 species